rnacentral:rRNA from 1 species
GGCCUUGCGCUGAUUGAGCGGCCGAUAUCAGAUUAGCUAGUUGGUGAGGUAAAAGCUCACCAAGGCGACGAUCUGUAGCGGGUCUGAGAGGAUGAUCCGCCACACUGGAACUGAGACACGGUCCAGACUCCUACGGGAGGCAGCAGUGGGGAAUUUUGGACAAUGGGGGCAACCCUGAUCCAGCCAUGCCGCGUGAGUGAAGAAGGCCUUCGGGUUGUAAAGCUCUUUCAGCCGGGAAGAAAAUGCAUGGGUUAAUACCCUGUGCAGAUGACGGUACCGGAAUAAGAAGCACCGGCUAACUACGUGCCAGCAGCCGCGGUAAUACGUAGGGUGCGAGCGUUAAUCGGAAUUACUGGGCGUAAAGCGUGCGCAGGCGGUUUUGUAAGACAGGCGUGAAAUCCCCGGGCUUAACCUGGGAACUGCGUUUGUGACUGCAAGGCUAGAGUACGGCAGAGGGGGGUGGAAUUCCACGUGUAGCAGUGAAAUGCGUAGAGAUGUGGAGGAACACCAAUGGCGAAGGCAGCCCCCUGGGUCGAUACUGACGCUCAUGCACGAAAGCGUGGGUAGCAAACAGGAUUAGAUACCCUGGUAGUCCACGCCCUAAACGAUGUCAACUAGGUGUUGGGAGGGUAAAACCUUUUAGUACCGUAGCUAACGCGAGAAGUUGACCGCCUGGGGAGUACGGCCGCAAGGUUAAAACUCAAAGGAAUUGACGGGGACCCGCACAAGCGGUGGAUGAUGUGGAUUAAUUCGAUGCAACGCGAAAAACCUUACCUACCCUUGACAUGUCAGGAACCUUCCAGAGAUGGAUUGGUGCCCGAAAGGGAACCUGAACACAGGUGCUGCAUGGCUGUCGUCAGCUCGUGUCGUGAGAUGUUGGGUUAAGUCCCGCAACGAGCGCAACCCUUGUCGUUAAUUGCCAUCAUUCAGUUGGGCACUUUAACGAGACUGCCGGUGACAAACCGGAGGAAGGUGGGGAUGACGUCAAGUCCUCAUGGCCCUUAUGGGUAGGGCUUCACACGUCAUACAAUGGUCGGUACAAAGGGUCGCCAACCCGCGAGGGGGAGCUAAUCCCAUAAAGCCGAUCGUAGUCCGGAUUGUAGGCUGCAACUCGCCUGCAUGAAGUCGGAAUCGCUAGUAAUCGUGGAUCAGCAUGUCACGGUGAAUACGUUCCCGGGUCUUGUACACACCGCCCGUCACACCAUGGGAGCGGGUUCCGCCAGAAGUAGGUAGCCUAACCGCAAGGGGGGCGCUUACCACGGCGGGGUUCGUGACUGGGGUGAAGUCGUAACAAGGUA